AACGUAGGAGGCAAGCGUUAUCCGGAUUUACUGGGCGUAAAGCGCGUGUAGGCGGUUCGGCAAGUUGGAUGUGAAAGCUCCUGGCUUAACUAGGAGAGGUCGUUCAAUACUACCGAACUUGAGGUCAUCAGAGGAGAGUGGAAUUCCCGGUGUAGUGGUGAAAUGCGUAGAUAUCGGGAGGAACACCAGUGGCGAAAGCGGCUCUCUGGGAUGAUCCUGACGCUCAGACGCGAAAGCUAGGGUAGCAAACGGGAUUAGAGACCCCGGUAGUCCUAGCAGUAAACGAUGUAGACUUGGCGUCGGUGGGUUCAAAACCAUCGGUGUCGAAGCUAACGCGAUAAGUCUACCGCCUGGGGACUACGGCCGCAAGGUUAAA
rnacentral:rRNA from 1 species